rnacentral:rRNA from 1 species
AUCGAACGCUGGCGGCAGGCUUAACACAUGCAAGUCGAACGAGUGGCGGACGUGAGAGUAAUGUGUGGGAAUCUCCUUUCUGGACGGGGUUAACUACGGGAAACGGGAGCUAAUACCGAUUACCAUAGGAUGAGCCCAAGCUGGAUUAGGUAGUUGGUGGGGUAAGGGUGCACGAAGCCGACGAUCUCUAGCUGGUGUGAGAGGAUGACAGGCCACACUGGGACGGAGACACGGCCCAGAAUCCUACGGGAGGCAGCAGUGGGGAAUAUUGCGCAAUGGGGGCAACCUGACGCAGCCAUGCCGAGUGAAUGAAGAAGGCCUUGGGGUGGUAAAGUACUCUCGGUAGCGAGGCGUUAACUACAGAAGAAGCACCGGCUAACUACGUGCCAGCAGCCGCGGUAAUUC